ACUCCUACGGGAGGCAGCAGUGGGGAAUCUUGGACAAUGGGCGCAAGCCUGAUCCAGCCAUGCCGCGUGAGUGAUGAAGGCCCUAGGGUCGUAAAGCUCUUUCGCCAGGGAUGAUAAUGACAGUACCUGGUAAAGAAACCCCGGCUAACUCCGUGCCAGCAGCCGCGGUAAUACGGAGGGGGUUAGCGUUGUUCGGAAUUACUGGGGCGUAAAGCGCGCGUAGGCGGACUGGAAAGUUGGGGGUGAAAUCCCGGGGGCUCAACCCCGGAACUGCCUCCAAAACUCCCAGUCUUGAGUUCGAGAGAGGUGAGUGGAAUUCCGAGUGUAGAGGUGAAAUUCGUAGAUAUUCGGAGGAACACCAGUGGCGAAGGCGGCUCACUGGCUCGAUACUGACGCUGAGGUGCGAAAGUGUGGGGGAGCAAACAGGAUUAGAUACCCUGGUAGGAUAGCG
rnacentral:rRNA from 1 species